AGCAGGGGAAGAUGGCCGUCCUGGAGGAGAGGGAUUACCCGGAAAUGAUGGCCCUGAAGGCAGGAGAGGUCCACCAGGGGGGAAGGGGGUCAGCGGGAGUCCAGGUGACUCUGGUAUUGAGGGCCCCCCUGGUCCUUCAGGGCCUCAGGGUGUGAGAGGACCAAAAGGUUUUGUGGGACCUAUAGGUCCUCCUGGUUUACCUGGCCCACAGGGUUUUCCAGGAGAAGAGGGACCAAGUGGAUUCAGGGGCCAUUCAGGAAACAAAGGACAAAAA